UACGGGGGGAGCAAGCGUUGUUCGGAUUUACUGGGCGUAAAGGGCGCGUAGGCGGUCGUGACAAGUCACUUGUGAAAUCUCCGGGCUUAACUCGGAACGGUCAAGUGAUACUGUCGGACUAGAGUACAGAAGGGGCAACUGGAAUUCUCGGUGUAGCGGUGAAAUGCGUAGAUAUCGAGAGGAAUACCUGUGGCGAAGGCGGCCUACUGGGCCGGACCUGACGCUGAGACGCGAAGGCGUGGGGAGCGAACGGG
rnacentral:rRNA from 1 species